GUGCGUGUGACGAAAAAUGAUGGAUGAAAAACGCGAGAAGCGGGGUCUGAAGUCUUUCGUUGGUCACACACACUACCAGCAUUGCAUCUACCAGCGGAUUGCGCUACACCGAGUCUACCCAUCUCUCUCGAUUUACCAUGAUUUUUUCUGCUAUCGCACUCAUCCGGGAGUUAGGCAUCCUCAGUCUGUCCAGAAUUUUCGUUGUGGAAGGAUGUGCGGGAGUGAUAUGCGAUUUCUUGUGUCCCCUGCUUUCCUUGUUUACGUUUUGCGCAGUGUUGUUUCUUCUUCCAUUCUGGAAUGAUUUAUCCUAGCUAACUUGUUGAGGUGCAUGCGCCAUUCAUCAACGCCUACGUGUUGGCAUCAUCAACAAUCUUCAAAGUGGGUGACGGAAAGAAAUUGUUUUCCAGUUUUAAAAUAUUAAGCAUUCAGCACAACUCAGCCACAAAACAACGCACUGGAUUACGCUAAGAACCUGUCGAAACGCGCGCAGCCCCCGGGCGCGGUAGGAGAAAGGAAGAACGAGAGGAGAAAACUAAAGCCAGCGCGCAGCUCUGAUGGUACCCAGGACGCGGUAAGAAGAAAAAAGAUCGAGAGGAAGAAGAACGGUAAAUUUGGAAGGGAGAGACCGUUCUGCCGUCCACACAGUGUGAGUAAGCCAAAGCACGUGUUGGAAGGGAGAGAAAAAGUGUGGAAUAAACCGCAUGCGAAUGUGUGCAUACAGCAAAAGUAAACAUGUGUGCCGCAUCAUUUCUAUAAGCAAUCCGAAAAGGGGGUGGAGCAAACACAUUGGUAU